GAUGAAGAACGUAGUGAAAUGCGAUAAUUAAUGUGAAUUGCAGAAUUCAGUGAAUCAUCGAGUCUUUGAACGCACAUUGCGCCCCCUGGUAUUCCGGGGGGCAUGCCUGUCCGAGCGUCAUUGCUGCCCUCAAGCACGGCUUGUGUGUUGGGCUUCCGUCCCUGGCAACGGGGACGGGCCCAAAAGGCAGUGGCGGCACCAUGUCUGGUCCUCGAGCGUAUGGGGCUUUGUCACCCGCUCCCGUAGGUCCAGCUGGCAGCUAGCCUCGCAACCAAUCUUUUUAACCAGGUUGACAUCGGAUCAGGUAGGGAUACCCGCUGAACUUAAGCAUAUCAAUAAGCGGAGGA
rnacentral:misc_RNA from 1 species